AUCGUUCGGUUCAUGAGCAUGAUGAUCGGGUGUUCAUGCCUUAUGCAUGAGAUGUGCCUCCCUCAAACCAUGUUACAACAUGGGCACAUUACCUGUCUGAUG